GACGAACGCUGGCGGCGUGCCUAAUACAUGCAAGUAGAACGCUGACUACUUUAGCUUGCUAGAGUAGAAGGAGUUGCGAACGGGUGAGUAACGCGUAGGUAACCUGCCUACUAGCGGGGAUAACUAUUGGAAACGAUAGCUAAUACCGCAUAACAGUGUUUAACACAUGUUAGAUGCUUGAAAGAUGCAAAUGCAUCACUAGUAGAUGGACCUGCGUUGUAUUAGCUAGUUGGUGGGGUAACGGCCUACCAAGGCGACGAUACAUAGCCGACCUGAGAGGGUGAUCGGCCACACUGGGACUGAGACACGGCCCAGACUCCUACGGGAGGCAGCAGUAGGGAAUCUUCGGCAAUGGGGGCAACCCUGACCGAGCAACGCCGCGUGAGUGAAGAAGGUUUUCGGAUCGUAAAGCUCUGUUGUAAGAGAAGAACGUGUGUGAGAGUGGAAAGUUCACACAGUGACGGUAACUUACCAGAAAGGGACGGCUAACUACGUGCCAGCAGCCGCGGUAAUACGUAGGUCCCGAGCGUUGUCCGGAUUUAUUGGGCGUAAAGCGAGCGCAGGCGGUUUAAUAAGUCUGAAGUUAAAGGCAGUGGCUUAACCAUUGUUCGCUUUGGAAACUGUUAAACUUGAGUGCAGAAGGGGAGAGUGGAAUUCCAUGUGUAGCGGUGAAAUGCGUAGAUAUAUGGAGGAACACCGGUGGCGAAAGCGGCUCUCUGGUCUGUAACUGACGCUGAGGCUCGAAAGCGUGGGGAGCAAACAGG
rnacentral:rRNA from 1 species